rnacentral:lncRNA from 1 species
UUGGUUUCCUUGUACCGUUGGUCUCAUGACGCUUUGGUAUAAUGUCCCUGGAGCUUGAGAUUGAGCUGGAAUCAUGUAUACUUGUUGUUGUUGUUGUUGUUGCUCCGGUAGAUUCUGUGACGUUGUUGUGUAGAUAUUCCCCUGAAUAUUACUGUUGUUGGUGUUUCCUUGCCAGUAGCCAACCGGAGGUUGUUGAUUCGUCACCGGCGCCGGAUUUUGAGUGUAUGUGGGAGGGAAGUAUCUUCCGGCUUCGUCUUCGGUUUUUCUUCU